GUGAGGAAUAUUGCGCAAUGGAGGCAACUCUGACGCAGCCAUGCCGCGUGCAGGAAGAAGGCGCUACGCGUUGUAAACUGCUUUUAACCGGGAAGAAACCCCAGGACGUGUCCUGGGUUGACGGUACCGGAGGAAUAAGCACCGGCUAACUUCGUGCCAGCAGCCGCGGUAAUACGAAGGGUGCAAGCGUUAUCCGGAUUCAUUGGGUUUAAAGGGUGCGUAGGCGGAGCGUUAAGUCAGUGGUGAAAUCCUGCAGCUUAACUGUAGACUUGCCAUUGAUACUGGCGCUCUUGAGUGCGCUUGAAGUGGGCGGAAUGUGCCAUGUAGCGGUGAAAUGCUUAGAUAUGGCACAGAACACCAAUUGCGAAGGCAGCUCACUAAGGCGAUACUGACGCUGAGGCACGAAAGCGUGGGGAUCGAACAGGAUUAGAUACCCCAGUAGUCC
rnacentral:rRNA from 1 species